UACGGGGGGGGCAAGCGUUGUUCGGAAUUACUGGGCGUAAAGGGCUCGUAGGCGGCCAACUAAGUCAGACGUGAAAUCCCCAGGCUUAACCUGGGAACUGCGUCUGAUACUGGAUGGCUUGAAUUCGGGAGAGGGGUGCAGAAUUCCAGGUGUAGCGGUGAAAUGCGUAGAUAUCUGGAGGAACACCGGUGGCGAAGGCGGCAUCCUGGACCGGCAUUGACGCUGAGGCGCGAAAGCCAGGGGAGCAAAGCGGG
rnacentral:rRNA from 1 species